rnacentral:rRNA from 1 species
GACGAACGCUGGCGGCGCGCUUAACACAUGCAAGUCGAGCGAUGAAACUUUAACAGAACCCUUCGGGGCGAAGAUAAAGUGGAUUAGCGGCGGACGGGUGAGUAACACGUGAGUAACCUUCCUUAGACAUUGGGAUAGCCUCGGGAAACCGGGAUUAAUACCAAAUAAAAUCAUAAUGACACAUUUCAUAACGAUCAAAACUCCGGUGGUCUAAGAUGGACUCGCGUCCCAUUAGAUAGUUGGUAGAGUAAAAGCCUACCAAGGCGACGAUGGGUAGCCGGCCAGAGAGGGUGAACGGCCACAUUGGAACUGAGAAACGGUCCAAACUCCUACGGGAGGCAGCAGUGGGGAAUAUUGCAAAAUGGAGGGAACUCUGAUGCAGCGACGCCGCGUGAACGAAGAAGGCUUUCGAGUAGUAAAGUUCUUUUAUAUGGGAAGAUAAUGACGGUACCAUAAGAAAAAGCCCCGGCUAACUACGUG